rnacentral:lncRNA from 1 species
UCAUAUACAGUUUUUCCUUCUUUAUAGUAUCAACUCUGAAUAAAUCAGAAUUAGGAGAAUAGGUGACUAUCUCGUAUAUGAGAACUAUUCUCGGAUUCCUCAACCAUUCCAUGAAAUUCGAUCAAUUUAAAAAUAUACCAAGCAGUGAAAGUAAAGAUGUAAAUGUGUAUAUAAGAACAUAAAAGGACUACUCAUGAUGACAUAUACAAUUUAGAUGAGAUUUUUAUCUAAUUGUGUCUCUCACUAUUUUAGCAAAUUUUAUAGCCUUCAAGUAUGAAAAUGAAAAACUUUAUCAUGACAUUUUUUAGUGGGGUUGAGAUCUCAAUUCCUCAUAAAAAGCUUGUGGAUAACACAACAAGCUCCUAUGAGUUUAAGGAUAGGUAACUCUUUACCAAUUACAUCUCAUGCAACUCUCAAUAUUACUUUUGCCUCUAAAAUACUUAUAGCCUUAUGGAUAGCAUAAUAAACUAUAGUAUUUUAGUUAAGUCAUACUCUUCAAUCUUAUAUGGUCAUAUAUGAAUAAUACUAUCUUUGUGGAUAGCACAACAAUGCAGCACUACCAAAAUAUGUCAUAAGCAUCAUUAAGUCAACAUCAUACCAAUCACUAUAGCAAGCCUUGUGGAUAGCACAACAAACUCACUACAAUUUUUGACAUACUCUAUUGACUUAGUAUGAGCUAAAUACCAUUAGCUUCAUUAUGCACUAAGACAGUAUCAAAUUAGUCCCCACAGCAAGCCUUGUGGAUAGCAUAAUAAGCCUACUAUGAUUC